GCUUAAUUUCCCUGCAUCCUGUUUCAAGAAAAAUAAGAAAUUCCAUAUUCCUCCUGUGCUAUUACCUGCACUAGUCUCUUGAAACCAACUUGCCUGUGGAAAGAAUCCUAUCAGAAUCACUUCAGUGGCAUCUAACAGCUUAAUUUCCCUGCAUCCUGUUUCAAGAAAAAUAAGAAAUUCCAUAUUCCUCCUGUGCUAUUACCUGCACUAGUCUCUUGAAACCAACUUGCCUGUGGAAAGAAUCCUAUCAGAAUCACUUCAGUGGCAUCUAACAGCUUAAUUUCCCUGCAUCCUGUUUCAAGAAAAAUAAGAAAUUCCAUAUUCCUCCUGUGCUAUUACCUGCACUAGUCUCUUGAAACCAACUUGCCUGUGGAAAGAAUCCUAUCAGAAUCACUUCAGUGGCAUCUAACAGCUUAAUUUCCCUGCAUCCUGUUUCAAGAAAAAUAAGAAAUUCCAUAUUCCUCCUGUGCUAUUACCUGCACUAGUCUCUUGAAACCAACUUGCCUGUGGAAAGAAUCCUAUCAGAAUCACUUCAGUGGCAUCUAACAGCUUAAUUUCCCUGCAUCCUGUUUCAAGAAAAAUAAGAAAUUCCAUAUUCCUCCUGUGCUAUUACCUGCACUAGUCUCUUGAAACCAACUUGCCUGUGGAAAGAAUCCUAUCAGAAUCACUUCAGUGGCAUCUAACAGCUUAAUUUCCCUGCAUCCUGUUUCAAGAAAAAUAAGAAAUUCCAUAUUCCUCCUGUGCUAUUACCUGCACUAGUCUCUUGAAACCAACUUGCCUGUGGAAAGAAUCCUAUCAGAAUCACUUCAGUGGCAUCUAACAGCUUAAUUUCCCUGCAUCCUGUUUCAAGAAAAAUAAGAAAGU